rnacentral:rRNA from 1 species
ACUGGGAUUGCCCUAGUAACGGCGAGUGAAGCGGCAACAGCUCAAAUUUGAAAUCUGGCCUCGUUGGCGGGGUCCGAGUUGUAAUUUGCAGAGGAUGCUUUGGCUUUGGUUGCGGUCUAAGUUCCUUGGAACAGGACAUCAAAGAGGGUGAGAAUCCCGUAUUUGGUCGCGCACCAUCGCCGUGUAAAGCCCCUUCGACGAGUCGAGUUGUUUGGGAAUGCAGCUCUAAAUGGGAGGUAAAUUCCUUCUAAAGCUAAAUACCGGCCAGAGACCGAUAGCGCACAAGUAGAGUGAUCGAAAGAUGAAAAGCACUUUGGAAAGAGAGUCAAAAAGCACGUGAAAUUGUUGAAAGGGAAGCGCUUGCAGCCAGACUUGCCCGUAGUUGCUCACCCAGGCUCCUGCCUGGGGCACUCUUCUGCGGGCAGGCCAGCAUCAGCUCGGGCGGUCGGACAAAGGCCUCUGUCAUGUAUCUUCCUUCGGGAUGACCUUAUAGGGGAGGCGCAACACGGCCAGCCCGGGCUGAGGACCGCGCAUCUGCUAGGAUGCUGGCGUAAUGGCCGCAAGCGGCCCGUCUUGAAACACGGACCAAGGAGUCUAACAUCUGUGCGAGUGUUUGGGUGUCAAGCCCGGGCGCGCAAUGAAAGUGAACGGAGGUGGGAACCCUCUCCGGGGGGCGCACCAUCGACCGAUCCUGAUGUCUUCGGAUGGAUUUGAGUAAGAGCACGGCUGUUGGGACCCGAAAGAUGGUGAACUAUGCUUGAAUAGGGUGAAGCCAGAGGAAACUCUGGUGGAGGCUCGCAGCGGUUCUGACGUGCAAAUCGAUCGUCAAAUUUGGGCAUAGGGGCGAAAGACUAAUCGA